GACGAACGCUGGCGGCGUGCCUAAUACAUGCAAGUAGAACGCUGAAGGAGGAGCUUGCUUCUCUGGAUGAGUUGCGAACGGGUGAGUAACGCGUAGGUAACCUGCCUGGUAGCGGGGGAUAACUAUUGGAAACGAUAGCUAAUACCGCAUAAGAGUAGAUGUUGCAUGACAUUUGCUUAAAAGUUGCAAUUGCAUCACUACCAGAUGGACCUGCGUUGUAUUAGCUAGUUGGUGGGGUAACGGCUUACCAAGGCGACGAUACAUAGCCGACCUGAGAGGGUGAUCGGCCACACUGGGACUGAGACACGGCCCAGACGCCUACGGGAGGCAGCAGUAGGGAAUCUUCGGCAAUGGACGGAAGUCUGACCGAGCAACGCCGCGUGAGUGAAGAAGGGUGUCGGAUCGUAAAGCUCUGUUGUAAGAGAAGAACGAGUGUGAGAGUGGAAAGUUCACACUGUGACGGUAUCUGACCAGAAAGGGACGACUAACUACGUG
rnacentral:rRNA from 1 species